rnacentral:rRNA from 1 species
CCUACGGGAGGCAGCAGUGAGGAAUAUUGGUCAAUGGACGCAAGUCUGAACCAGCCAAGUAGCGUGCAGGAAGACGGCCCUCCGGGUUGUAAACUGCUUUUAGUUGGGAAUAAAAGGGGGCUCGUGAGCCGCGCAGUGUAUAUACGAUCAGAAAGAGGACCGGCUAAUACCGUGCCAGCACGCGCGGUAAUACGGGAGGUCCGGGCGUUAUCCGGAUUUAGUGGGUUUAAAGGGAGCGUAGGCCGGCUGUUAAGUCCGCUGGUAAAGUGCGGGGCUCCACCGUGGAAUAGCAGUUGAAACUGGAGGCCUUGAGUGCACACAGGGAUGCCGGAAUUCAUGGUGUAGCGGUGAAAUGCUUAGAUAUCAUGAAGAACUCCGAUCGCGAAGGCAAGUGUCCGGGGUGCAACUGACGCUGAUGCUCGAAAGUGCGGGUAUCAAACAGGAUUAGAUACCCCAGUAGUC